AGUGAGGCCUGGACUAAGGCGUUGCCAGCUGUCCCUAAGGUGGCUGAGCCUAUGUCAUCUUGAGCUUCUCAGAGCCACAGUUACAAUAAAGGGGGUUUCUCUAGGAUGUGCUAAAAGCCAAACUCACUAAGAAGCUGAGACCUCCACCAACAGACUGCGUGACAUGGCACAUCCACUCCUGGCAGCAUGUCUUUGUUGUCUUUGAGCUGAUUUCCAUAUGAUUGUUGGGAUGAGAUGAACGAGACCACCCGGAGGGGGCUGAACUGAGUGAUACAGAUUAUGAGGAAGCUUUCAGGGUUGGAGUCCCAUGGCUAAUGGUGUGAAAAGGUUUCCUGGAGGAGUGUAAUAUGUGUGUAGUCUUGGAUAGGGCUGGGCAAGAGGGAAAUGAGUGAAGAUAAUAGUAUCUACAAAGACAUGCCGCUAAGAGUAGAUGUGGCUUAUCUUAUCCAAUUUCCUCAUUCUUGAUGAAUGAGCAUAGCACAGGACCAAAUAUAUAGUAGGAGGUAUGCAAGAAAUGAGACUUGAAUCUGGAAUUGGAACUGAACUGGAAUUGACCCUUACUCAAUACAAAAAUAAGCCUGAAAUCCUGACCACAAUUGAAUGAAGGACCGGGUCUUCCUGCCAGUCCAUUAAACGUAACUCUGUAAGCUGCAGCUUAAGAUGAUGCAACAGACCAGACGAAGGAGAUGGGAAGGGAACAGCUCCAGCUCCCAAGGAUCAAUACAUGAAAAUAGGGUCACAUCGUGAAAUGAACUAGUUUCUGUUCUUGUGGAAAGCUCCAUGGUUUUCCUCUUUUUGUUCCAUCUGAGAGAUUAAUUCUAGAAUAAAGUAUUUCAAAUAUCAAACUAA